UCGCCUGUUUAUCAAAAACAUAGNNUAGUGAAUUUAUACUAAAUUAAUUCUGCCCAGUGUCAAAAUUAGAUAAAUGCCCGCAGUACCCUGACUGUGCUAAGGUAGCAUAAUCAAUUGGCUUUUAAUUGAAGUCUGGAAUGAAAGGAUANAUGGGAUCUUUCUGUCUUUAAAAUAUUAAUAUAAAUUUAUUUAAAAGGUGAAAAUACCUUUUUUAAAAAGAAAGACGAGAAGACCCUAAGAAUUUUUAAAAUUAAAUUUUCUUUUAAUUUUUUUGUUGGGGCGACAAUUUAGUAAAAAGUUAACCUAAAUUAUUUAAUAAGGCGAAAUUUUUAAGUAAAAAAAUUACCUUAGGGAUAACMGCAUAAUUUUUUAAUAGUUUGUGACCUCGAUGUUGGACUAGGAACUUUAUGGCUAGCAGCCAAAUAAGAUUUAUUCUGUUCGAAUAAAUUAUCCU
rnacentral:rRNA from 1 species